rnacentral:lncRNA from 1 species
UGUGAUAGUGCAGUAUGUAAUGGCAUGGUAGGAUAGUAGGAGUAUGCGCUCGUGAUUUUAUUGUCGCGUGAGAUUAGCAUGUGGGUUAGCUGUAGAUAUUUGAUUUUCACGGUUGGAGAGCUAAUGUAUAUAUAUAUUGAUUGUUUGCAUUGUACAUGCUCUGAGACAUGCGAUAGAUGCCGCAGCAUAGUGCAGUUUUGGUGGACAGGUAUUAGACAGUGUGAUGUAUUUGAUUGUGUCGAGGGUACGUGGAUAGUGUAUAGAUGGAUCUUUUUGAUCAUUGCAUUAACUAUAGCCCGCAGAGCCACAUUGAGCUUGAUAAUGACACGUGCUAUGAUACUCAGUAGGGGUCGAUCCUCUCGAGCGCCACUCUGGAUGCUUG